GCCCGGUUAGCUCAAUCGGUAGAGCGUGAGACUCUUAAUCUCAAGGUUGCGGGUAAGUUACUGAUCAUACGAUCUUGAUACACUGUAUUGAACACCCAGCUAACAUUCCCUCAUAGGUUCGACCCCCGCAUCGGGCU